rnacentral:rRNA from 1 species
GACGAACGCUGGCGGCGUGCCUAAUACAUGCAAGUUGAGCGAUGAAGCUUGGUGCUUGCACCAAUUUGAAGAGCAGCGAACGGGUGAGUAACGCGUGGGGAAUCUGCCUUUGAGCGGGGGACAACAUUUGGAAACGAAUGCUAAUACCGCAUAACAACUUUAAACAUAAGUUUUAAGUUUGAAAGAUGCAAUUGCAUCACUCAAAGAUGAUCCCGCGUUGUAUUAGCUAGUUGGUGAGGUAAAGGCUCACCAAGGCGAUGAUACAUAGCCGACCUGAGAGGGUGAUCGGCCACAUUGGGACUGAGACACGGCCCAAACUCCUACGGGAGGCAGCAGUAGGGAAUCUUCGGCAAUGGACGAAAGUCUGACCGAGCAACGCCGCGUGAGUGAAGAAGGUUGUCGGAUCGUAAAACUCUGUUGGUAGAGAAGAGCGUUGGUGAGAGUGGAAAGCUCAUCAAGUGACGGUAACUACCCAGAAAGGGACGGCUAACUACGUG